ensembl:lncRNA
GUCGACCCAGAGCCCAUGCAGGUGGGACGCCUUCGUCUCACAGUCAAGACGCAGGAUUGACUGGCUCGAGGUCUUUGCCUAUAUUUUGGGAAGCCUGGACACCGAACCAUCUGGUGUCCUUUAAAAGCUGGGGCCCAUCAGUAAGCCAGGGGAUCCUGAUGGGCGCUUCUCCGUGUCUCGAGUCCCCCAAGUCUCGUACCCUACUUCCUGUCUUUGUUCAAUAUAAGGACAUCAUUCACUCUUGUCCAGCUGGUUGAAUCAAGAGCUGAGGGCAAUUUCUUGGAUGUGUCUGCAGCACAGUGGGGCAUCCCUUCCCUUCUCCCAUCUCUGUCCGGUCCCUCAGUGGCCUUCUCCUCUCCUCCAUCACCCACUCCACUCCUUCAAUGGAGGCUGCUGAUCUCUCCGGAGUCCCAGCGGAGUACCAUGAUCUUUGCAGAGUCUUCAGUAAGUCCCGGGGAAUGUCCUUGCCUCCCCACCGGCCGUGUGACUGUGCCAUCAAUCUCCUCCCAGGCACUUCUCCGCCCAAAGGGCGUUUGUACUCCCUGUCUGGUCCUGAAAGAGAGGCCAUGGACAAGUAUAUUAAGGAAUCCUUCAAUGCCAGCCUCAUCCGUCCCUCUUCCUCACCUGCUGGCGCUGGGUUCUUUGUUAAGAAGGAUGGCUCCCUGCAUCUUUGCAUUAAUUCUCAAUGACAUCACCUUUAGAAACGGGUAUCCUCUGACUCGGUCACCUGCUUUUGAAUUGUUACAGGGGGGCAAGGCAAUGCCUACCAUUUGGUCCAUAUCCAUGAGGGGGAUGAGUGGAAGACAACCGGGACUUCGGCCUGAUCAGCAGUUCCUUCCCUGAUAUUACCAGAAUACCCGGCG